UACGUAGGGGGCGAGCGUUGUCCGGAUUUAUUGGGCGUAAAGAGCGUGUAGGCGGCCAGGUAGGUCGUUGUGAAACUCGAGGCUCAACCUCGAGACGUCGGAUGGAAACCAUCUGGCUAGAGUCCGGAAGAGGCGAGUGGAACUCCUGGUGUAGCGGUGGAAUGCGUAGAGAUCCGGAAGAACACCGGUGGCGAAGGCGGCCUGCUGGGCAGUUGCUGACGCUGAGGAGCGAAAGCGUGGGGACGCGAACAGGAUAGAUACC
rnacentral:rRNA from 1 species